ensembl:lncRNA
AAAUUUGUAUUGUUGAUUUUAUAGGGUUUUGAAAACUUUAAUAUCACGUAAUGGCUUUAAAAUGUCAUGUUAAAUAUCAUGUAAACCAUUAAGUGAAAAAUAUAAACUUUUUCUUAACACUUCCUAAAUAAGUUCCUUAUAUAUAUAUAUAUAUAUAUAUAUAGAGAGAGAGAGAGAGAGAGAGAGAGAGAGAGAGAAUUUUAAUAAGUAUCAUUACAUUUUUUUUUUUUUGAGGGGUGUCCAAGAUUAAAUUUUACAAUCUGAACUAAUUUAGCAUCAUCAUGAAAAUAUUAAAUUAUCUAUUAUUUUUAGAGACUUGCUGAAUCUGAUACACAGUCAUGAGGGUCUGCUGGGGUUUUCUCUAUGAUAUAAUUUCCUGUUUUAUUUUUUUCCUUGCAUGUUUACACAUUGCUUGAGACUUUUUUCUUUAUUAAAAAGAGUUUUUUUAUUUUCUUUACUCUUAAUUUCUUCAUUUCAUUUCUUUUUUUUAUUAUGAUAUUAUGAUCAAUUCUACUUGCUCUAAAAUAAUAAUAAUAAUAAUAAUAAUAAUAAAGAAAUGAAAAAUAUUUUCAUAAAAGAAAAAUAACAAAUUAAUAAAAAAAAAAUCUGAAAUUAAUCACAAUUAACCUCACCUAACAUUAAAGUUUUUAAAUAUACAUUUAUAUAGCAAUAAUUUAAUAUUCACUCUUCAAAUUAAUAUUUAAACAACACAAAGACGGUUUAUACAGUAUAUAUAUAUAUAAUAUAUAUAUAUAUAUAUAUAUAUAUAUAUAUAUAUAUAUAUAUAUAUAUAUAUAUAUAUAUAUAUAUGUUUAGUGCCAUCUUUUUUAUGUCUGAAACUAUCACUAAUUCAAAUAAUACUGAUGUCUAUAUGAAAUAGUUUUUUUUUUUUUUUUUCUGUGAACAACCCAGACAGCCGGAGGACCUCCAUGGUGUUGCUGGGAGAUGGAGGGGUCAUUACUGGAGGAUUAGCCGAAGGGAUCAAGGGCUUACCCAGCAGGCAGCUGUGGACUCAGGGUCCCAACAGUGCAAAAAACUAUCACUUCAUAUUGAGUAAAAGGCAGUGCAGAGACCUCUGGAGGGGCAGGUGCUCAAAGUAUCAAAGGGGCACAUGGAACAAGGCUUUAAAUGGGGCUGUGCUCCUUGCUGAUGUGUAUCCAUAUGGAUGCUUCUGUAUUGAUACAGCAGCAAAUCCUGUGACACAGUUUGAAAAAGAAAUGCUUUGACUAAUGAAAUGUGAAGACAAUAAACACACGAUUAUGAAAUUAUAUAGUUUAUGU